rnacentral:rRNA from 1 species
CCUACGGGGAGCUGCAGUGGGGGAUAUUGCACAAUGGGGGGAACCCUGAUGCAGCGACGCCGCGUGGAUGAAGGAGUGCUUCGGCAUGUAAAGCCCUAUCGGCAGGGAAGAAGAAAGACGGUACCUGACUAAGCAGCCCCGGCUAACUACGUGCCAGCAGCGGCGGUAAUCGGGAGGGGUCGCGCGUUAUCCGGAUUCACUGGGUGUAAAGGGAGCGUAGACGGCCAAGCAAGCCAGGGUUGAAAGCCCGGGGCCCAACCCCGGGACUGCCCUUGGAACUGCUUGGCUGGAGUGCGGGAGGGGCAGGCGGAAUUCCUGGUGUAGCGGUGAAAUGCGUAGAUAUCAGGAGGAACACCGGCGGCGAAGGCGGCCUGCUGGACCGCGACUGACGUUGAGGCUCGAAAGCGUGGGGAGCGAACAGGAUUAGAUACCCUAGUAGUC